rnacentral:lncRNA from 1 species
GGAGAGACAAUAGUUCACAUCAUAGAUGCCAUUCAUGGGGAAAUUCAGGUUGAAGCAGGUAACCUGACCUGUCUGAGACCUGCCUGAUGAAAUCAGGUGAACAAAUCCCAUGUGCCCUUCCCUUCGCCUGUCCCAUUGCAGCAGCAUGACUGGAAGAACUGCUUCACAUUAACAAGCAGCUGGGAAACAUGUAGAUUGAACUCCUGAUCCAAAGCCCACAGUAAAUAAUAAGGUUUUGGUUCAUUAUCACAUACAAGAAAACACAGAUUUAUGUCAUGGCUGUAAAAUGGGGAGAAUAUUUAUCACCCAGCUCUGAU